rnacentral:lncRNA from 1 species
CAGGGUUUCAGAGAUGGUCCAGCCAGAAACCAUUACUAAGGGGUUACUUUACUGAGCAUCUUGGCGUCUGGCACAGGGUAGGGCUCAUAGAACUAAUGCAGAAACGAACCCACUUGGUUGGCCGAUAGAUGCUCUUCCUGCCGCUCACAAAGCCCUCGCAGGCUUCAUGCCUGCUGAUAUUUCCCAGGCUACACCCUCUCUCAGGGCAUUUUGCUUUUAACAGCAUCAAAAUGCCAUACUAAGGGACUAGCCCAGAGCUGUGUGGACUUAUGUGUGGCAUUAAGGAAAGAGAGGGCAUCAGUCACCCUGAGAUAAUCAUGCAUCCCUGGGAGCACCCUACAUGCUUCUGCCUUGGAAGCUGCCUUCCUCCUGCUUCUCUUGUCGCCUCUGCUGACUUGUAUUGCUUCAUGUCAGCAACCCACGUGGAUGGCCGGGUGGCUCUGAGAGAGCUCAGUGCCUUCUAGGGUCAAACAGCUCAUCGAGGAAGAAGGAAGUGGAUGAUGCUCACAGGCGCUCUGGCAGGUGCUGGCCCCGUGGCUGCUGAGCAGUGGAAGCACCAGUCAGAUGAAGAAACUCAGCAUGUAGACACUCUUACCCAGAUGAACUGCAGGAUGUCCCAAUCUCAGCUUUCCAUCUCAGCCAUCAAGUCAGGGCCAACCUUCUCAGAUCCUUCUCUGGGCUCUGUUAUCAGACGGUGGCAUAUUUUGCUGCUCAUUUCAUCCACUUCAUGCCAAGUUUCCCCAACAAGUGAUGUUUUUUCUCAUCGUAUAACUUCAGUUGAUGUGUGUAAUAGAGGUAACUUCUGUUGCACAGACCCAUGCAUGUAUUUUAUGUUCUGGUAUAAUCUGUUUUUAUAUAUUUUUCAGUAA